UGUAUAUCUGCUCAUUUAUGGUGGGAGAGACUGCAUUGUCAUUCAUUCAUUCAUUCAUUAGUUUAUGAGGCACUGAGCUUGCAAAUGAGAUCCAGAGUAAAAAUCAUAGUUCUUAUCCUCAGGAAAUUUCCUGUGUAGCAGUGAAAACCGUGAAUAGCCAAUACAAGCCACAGCAAUAAAUGUGAAAGAGGCUGUCGAAGAUGCUAUUACCAAAUCUCCACUCCCUGGCUGGAACACCUUUUCCUCAGCUGCUGCCAAUGCCAAGCUAAUGCCUUAUACCUGCCACCUGUUUUGGAGCAUGGCCCCUGGCUAAUGGAAACCACCUGCCCUGGAGAUUGCUGAGAGGUCACCACCCACCUACAUACUUGGAGUAAGAAUAGACUUCAGCUGGGGGAAGAAGAUGGGGGCAGGCUAUAAAAUCAGAAGGAUCUGUGCAAAGGACCUCAUAAGUGGCUAAUGUGACGGGAACAUGCUAGGAGGAUGUGUGCUCUGGUUGAUGAGCCUGGAUGGUGUGGGCAAUGAAUGUUUUUCAGUGACAUAGGCAGCCAUUUCAUGAAUCUUCAGGAUUUUAAAUGGGGAUGAGUCUAUGAACUAGGAUGCUGGAAAGAAAUUACCUCAUUUCACUUUCUGGAAUCUCUUCUCUAGGAGAUGCGAUGAGGUACAUCUUCUGUGUGCACCUAUACAGUAUCCUGGACUUUUACUAUAAAAAAUAUACUACUUAUGUAAUUUCCUGUACUGUACUUUCCCCAUUAAAGAACUAUGAUACUACACUGCCUACUUAUCUUUAUGUAUUUUCCCCACUAGAUUAUAAACUUUCUGUUAUUAGAGACCAUGUUGGACUUGUUGUAUCUCUAACAUAGGGCCUCCCACCCAGUAGAUGCUCAGUAUAUAUUUGUGAAUAAACAAGUGAAUGAAUUGAUGAA